AUUGAACGCUGGCGGCAGGCCUAACACAUGCAAGUCGAGCGGAUGAAGGGAGCUUGCUCCUGGAUUCAGCGGCGGACGGGUGAGUAAUGCCUAGGAAUCUGCCUGGUAGUGGGGGAUAACGUCCGGAAACGGGCGCUAAUACCGCAUACGACCUGAGGGAGCAAGUGGGGGAUCUUCGGACCUCACGCUAUCAGAUGAGCCUAGGUCGGAUUAGCUAGUUGGUGGGGUAAAGGCCUACCAAGGCGACGAUCCGUAACUGGUCUGAGAGGAUGAUCAGUCACACUGGAACUGAGACACGGUCCAGACUCCUACGGGAGGCAGCAGUGGGGAAUAUUGGACAAUGGGCGAAAGCCUGAUCCAGCCAUGCCGCGUGUGUGAAGAAGGUCUUCGGAUUGUAAAGCACUUUAAGUUGGGAGGAAGGGCAGUAAGUUAAUACCUUGCUGUUUUGACGUUACCAACAGAAUAAGCACCGGCUAACUUCGUG
rnacentral:rRNA from 1 species